UGGGGAAUUUUGGACAAUGGGCGCAAGCCUGAUCCAGCCAUGCCGCGUGUCUGAAGAAGGCCUUCGGGUUGUAAAGGACUUUUGUCAGGGAAGAAAAGGCUGUUGCUAAUACCGACAGCUGAUGACGGUACCUGAAGAAUAAGCACCGGCUAACUACGUGCCAGCAGCCGCGGUAAUACGUAGGGUGCGAGCGUUAAUCGGAAUUACUGGGCGUAAAGCGAGCGCAGACGGUUACUUAAGCAGGAUGUGAAAUCCCCGGGCUCAACCUGGGAACUGCGUUCUGAACUGGGUGACUAGAGUGUGUCAGAGGGAGGUAGAAUUCCACGUGUAGCAGUGAAAUGCGUAGAGAUGUGGAGGAAUACCGAUGGCGAAGGCAGCCUCCUGGGAUAACACUGACGUUCAUGCUCGAAAGCGUGGGUAGCAAACAGGAUUAGAUAUCCUGGUAGUCCACGCCCUAAACGAUGUCAAUUAGCUGUUGGGCAACUUGAUUGCUUAGUAGCGUAGCUAACGCGUGAAAUUGACCGCCUGGGGAGUACGGUCGCAAGAUUAA
rnacentral:rRNA from 1 species